GACGAACCGUGCGAACGUUGUUCGGAUUCACUGGGCUUAAAGGGCGCGUAGGCGGCCACCGCAAGUCGGUUGUGAAAUCUCUGGGCUUAACCCAGAAAGGUCAACCGAUACUGCGGGGCUAGAGUGCAGAAGGGGCAACUGGAAUUCUCGGUGUAGCGGUGAAAUGCGUAGAUAUCGAGAGGAACACCCGUGGCGAAGGCGGUUCUCUGGGACGGUACUGACGCUGAGACGCGAAAGCGUGGGGAGCGAACAGG
rnacentral:rRNA from 1 species